rnacentral:piRNA from 1 species
UUUUCUGUGAUUGGUGGCUUUUCUUCAGAC